CCGGUGACCCGGGUGCAGAGGCCGUUGCAGGCCGUGCUCAGGCCCGGGGGCUGUCCCUGUGUACCCCAGGUGUGUCCCAGGUGUGUCCCAGGUGUGUCACCUUGCCGGUGACCCGGGUGCGGAGGCCGUUGCAGGCUCUCUGCAGGACUGGGGGCUGUCCCUGUGUACCCCAGGUGUGUCCCAGGUGUGUCCCCGUGUCCCAGGUGUCCCAGGUGUGUCACCUUGCCGGUGACCCGGGUGCGGAGGCCGUUGCAGGCUCUCUGCAGGACUGGGGGCUGUCCCUGUGUACCCCAGGUGUGUCCCAGGUGUGCCCCAGGUGUGUCCCAGGUGUGUCCCCGUGUCCCAGGUGUGUCCCAGGUGUGUCACCUUGCCG